GUGAAAUGGCACUUGCUCUCAUGAUUCCCUAUUAAACUGAUAGGUGGUAAUUGAAGUGAUUAUCGAUACUAUACUAACAGCUGGAAAAAAUAAAGGACGCGAAGUUUAGUUUAUAAAACACCUAUUAAAUUCAGGUGAGUGAUAUUGUAAGUGAAUCAAGACAGGAAAGUGUGAUUGAAUAAAAUAGGUAAAGUAAAAUGAAGUGAAAACAUAAAAGUAUACAAUGAUAGAGUUUGUGAGUAAACAAUUAUUACUGUUCACUUUGUUUUUGUUGUUUAAGUUUAACAUUGUAAUUUUGACAACAAAUUUUGACAUGACUCAUUGUACAAUCAAUGGACCGUAAAAUCUCCAUCCUUCGCUGGAUAAUAGACACAAUGGGUCUUUUGAGAGGAAUAAAACAUGACCAAAAAUAUGUACGACUCUAGUGAAUACACAAAAUCCCUUCUAAAGACUAAGCCACACAUAAUUGGACAUCCAGUGCAGCAUUCUAGGAUGU